CCUUUCAGCCCCCGAAACCCGGGUCGAAAGAAUACCCAGGGUGGGCUGCAAACUGUUUUAGUAAAAAAACACAGCACUCUGCUAACGCGCAAGCGGACGUAUAGGGGUGUGACGCCUGCCCCGGUGCCGGAAGGUUAAGUGAUGGUGUUAGGCCUCGGCCGAAGCUCUUGAUCGAAGCCCCCGGUAAACGGCGGCCGUAACUAUAACGGUCCUAAGGUAGCGAAAAUUCCUUGUCGGGUAAGUUCCGACCUGCACGAAUGGCGUAAUGAUGGCCACGCUGUCUCCACCCCGAGACUCAGUGAAA
rnacentral:ncRNA from 1 species